AGGAAAUCUCAGAGAAUUCAUUGCCACAUCUGCUUCAAGAGAAUUAUUAGAAGAAAUUCUCAGAUGGAUGGGAAAUGAUUCUGGAAAGACUAGUACAUCAGGAAUGAAGGAGUGUGACAGAAAUGUUAAAUAUCUAAGUAUGAGAAGAUGUAAGAAUUUGGGCUCAUAAAAAUCUUUACCUGAAAACAUCUGACUAUCUGAAGGCCCCACAGAAUGUCUUAUUUCUGAUCUCCACUCUGAGCUCCUUUCAAGGGAUGUUGAAGGAGAUGAGUUUAAUGCAUUUGGGUUUCUCUGGUGGCUCAGACAGUAAAGAAUCUGCCUGCAAUGCAGGAGACCCAGGUUUGAUCCCUGGGUCAGGAAGAUCCCCUGGAGAAGGGAAAGUCUACUCUCUUCAAUAUUCAUGCCUGGAGAAUUCCAUGGACAGAGGAGCCUGGCAGGCUACAGUCCAUGGGAUCAAAAAAAAGAGUUGAACACGACUGAGCGAGUUACCACUUUAAUGCAUUGACAUGGUUUUGAUUACUCAUGCUUUCGGACUUGGUUUACUACGUACUCUUUGAUAGUCUAUUUGCCAUGCUCUUUGCUUAUCUCUUUAACCUUCCCUCCUGACACUCACAUUGAUCACAUUUAUUUCACCCAUUUUGCCCUUCACUGGUUUGGAACUUUGCUUUUUAAUUCGGUUCCUUCUGUGAUCCUCAUAAGUUCUUAGCAUUAGGAAUAUAAAGCAUGAAGUAAAAAAGAAUUCUCCAUCUGUUUUUCUCUAAUGUCAGUC
ensembl:lncRNA